rnacentral:miRNA from 1 species
UAUCAGACUUGUCACAAGGUUGUUCUAACAAGUCUGAUACAGUCAUCAUAAACAAGAAUGUUACAAGGUUGCGGACGACACAAGGUUGUAACAAUACUGCUGUAUCAUGACUGUAUCGGACUUGUUGAAACAACCUUGUAACAAGCCUGAUA